AUGCCGACGCGGGGCGCUUUCCGCCCAGUCUCCCUUCAGAAUGGGGUCUGUCGUGGCCUCACCUCGAGGUUGCAGAAGCAGAUCGGGGGCAUCAUCGAUGUUCACCAGUCUGGGUCCUUGGCGGGGAGGAGCAUCUCCGAGAACUUCGUGUAUGCCACCGAGUUGAUCCAGUGCUGCCACAAACGGGGGGCGCCAGCCCUCGUGUUCAAGCUGGAUUUCGCCAAGGCUUUCGACUCGGUCGACUGGGGGGCGCUACGCCGGAUCCUCAUGGCGCGCGGCUUUCCCGACCGGUGGUGUGCCUGGAUGGACCUGAUCUUCGAGUCCUCGCGGUCGGCGGUGCUGCUGAACGGCAUGCCCGGGAAGUGGUUCACGGUGCGCCGGGGGCUGCGGCAAGGCGACCUGUGCUCGCCCUACCUCUUCCUCAUCGUCGCCGACGUGCUGCAAUGGAUGAUCAGGCAAGAUGGGGGGUUGUUCCACCCCCUCGUACACGGCGAGCCCCCCUGGUGCUGCAAUAUGCCGAUGAUAUGCUUGUCAUCCUCCAUGCGGACACCGGCGCCGCUGCUCGCCUACGCCGUAUCCUCGACGACUUUGCAGCGGCGACGGGGCUGGACAUCAACUUUUCCAAAAGUACUCUGGUACCCAUGCACGUUCCCGAGGAGGUGUUGGUGGAGACCUUUGGCGCCCUUGGCUGCGCCGUUCAAGGGUUCCCGCAAGCCUACCUAG
rnacentral:rRNA from 1 species